GGUUGCGAUCAUACCAGCACUAAUGCACCGGAUCCCAACAGAACUCCGCAGUUAAGCGUGCAUGGGCGAGAGUAGUACUAGUAUGGGUGACCCCCUGGGAAGUCCUCGUGUUGCAACCCC
rnacentral:rRNA from 1 species